rnacentral:rRNA from 1 species
UACGGGAGGCAGCAGUGGGGAAUAUUGCACAAUGGGCGAAAGCCUGAUGCAGCUAUGCCGCGUGUAUGAAGAAGGCCUUAGGGUUGUAAAGUACUUUCAUCGGGGAGGAAAAACAAAACUAAUAAUUUUAUUUCUUGACGUUACCCGAAAAAGAAGCACCGGCUAACUCCGUGCCAGCAGCCGCGGUAAUACGGAGGGUGCUAGCGUUAAUCAGAAUUACUGGGCGUAAAGAGCACGUAGGUGGUUUUUUUAAGUCAGAUGUGAAAUCCCUGGGCUUAACCUGGAACUGCAUUUUGAAACUGAAAUACUAGAGUAUCGUAGAGGGAGGUAGAAUUCUAGGUGUAGCGGUGAAAUGCGUAGAUAUCUGGAGGAAUACCUGUGGCGAAAGCGGCCUCCUAAACGAAUACUGACACUGAGGUGCGAAAGCGUGGGGAGCGAAACAGGGAUUAGGA